UCCGUAGGAUGCAAGCGUUGUCCGGAUUUAUUGGGUUUAAAGGGGGCGUAGGCGGCCUAUUAAGUUAGUGGUGAAAACGUUCGGCUUAACCGGAUACCCGCCAUUGAUACUGAUAGACUUGAGUGCGACAGAGGGUGUUGGAAUGUGUGGUGUAGCGGCGAAAUGCUUAGAUAUCACGCAGAACACCAAUUGCGAAGGCAGAUGCCUAUGUCGUAACUGACGCUGAGGCACGAAAGCGUGGGGAGCAAACAGG
rnacentral:rRNA from 1 species